UCACGUAUCCACGUACAAACCACUGUGAACUGUUCUCCCUUUCGGAGGUGCUGGGUUUGGCUAGAUCAAUAUCGCUUCGCUGUCGUGAUAGAAGUGUGGUCUAGCCGUUCCUGAACUCGCUUCAGGACGCCUGUAUCUUUGAAAGCGGUUAUUAUCGCGCAACCUUAACCUUUAUUAACCCCUUUAACCUUUAUGAACUGAAAUUAAGCUUGAUGCGAAGGAGUGCCUCGGCAUUCUUGAAGUCAAGUCUUUAUUACGAAACUAAGAA
rnacentral:misc_RNA from 1 species